CUCGCUCGGGGCGCCCCCCUGCUGCUAGCGGGGAACACGCGUCCCCGGGGCGUCCCUGCGUUCCCCAACCCUCGCCUCACCAGAGCCUUCUCCAACGCCCCGGGCCGUGGACCGUGGCAGGGGAAGCGCGAAGGAUCAGGCUCUCCCUACAGAUUUCCCUCCACAGUGCCACAAGUGGCUUGUUGAAGACUGCCACCAAUGCAGCCUGCAAGCCAAAUCAUAACAAUAAGGGCUUCCACCGGGCAGCUUCCAUCAGACUCAGGCUCCUAUUACGAGUAAUUCCUGCAGUUUGGAUGUGGUAAUCGUGUUCCUGCCAUUGCUAAUCUCUCAGUUACCUCAUAUCCGCAGUUUGGCUCUCAGCACUUCCAU